UACAGAGGGGGCAAGCGUUGUUCGGAAUUACUGGGCGUAAAGGGCGCGUAGGCGGCCCGCUAAGUCGAACGUGAAAUCCCCGAGCUCAACUCGGGAACUGCGUCCGAUACUGGCGGGCUUGAAUCCGGGAGAGGGAUGCGGAAUUCCAGGUGUAGCGGUGAAAUGCGUAGAUAUCUGGAGGAACACCGGUGGCGAAGGCAGCUCGCUGGAACGGAACUGACGCUGAGGCGCGAAAGCGUGGGGAGCGAACAGG
rnacentral:rRNA from 1 species